AUUAUCUGUGCGCUCAGCUGAAAAUAAAUUGAGCAGUUCACUCCUCAUAAUGGUAUUUUCAUGGAAAUUUACGGAAAUAUAUUUUCGUAACAAGCUAAACAUGUCAAGUUUUGUCAUUAGCUCACACACACCUCCAGUGUAGCCACGCCACAUUUUGUUCAGAUGACCUGGAACAGGAGGAUUUAACUGGCUAGUAAUAUCAGCACGACACAUUUUCAAAAGACAAUCUUGGACCAUCAUCCUCGACCAACUUAAAGAUUGACCACUGGAAGGCUGCUGCUGCCAAGACUGUUUUUAAAGAACUACCGAAACCCAAGCAAACAAAACCGCUGCCUUCCCUUCCGCUCUUCACGGAAUCACCGUCUUAAACGAAGAAAGCAAAGCGGGCAACCCAAAGAUCAGCAGAAAUGUCCAUCGACUUUUACGGCUGGGAGGUGACUUACGAUGACGUCCAGCACCUGCAGGCGCAACAGCAGCCCAAAUCGGGCAGGCUCUACAUCAUGUAGAGGCAUGAAGUCCGUGCCCAGCAGCCUGGAAGAGGACUGCGUGUGGGACGUCAGUCGCAUCGAGGUGAUCGACAUCCUCGAACUGAGGGGUCUGAUUGCCCAGAAGGCACAGGGCAGAAUGGCUGGUAAUGGUCAGAGAUCGGAGGGAACGUGCCAGAUCUGCAAAAGGCGACGCCAUCCCCUCACACCACAGAGAGGUGUUGGGGCUGUGGAGCGAACAUCUGCAUCCUCAUGAACAAACAUUUCUGCCAGGUGGGAAGCUGAGAGCUGUGGCAGAGUGUGGCUGAGCACAUACAAAUCUUGUGUAUCAAAUCACAAAUCAGGGGCGACAUGGCUCAGGCAGUAAGAGCAGUCGUCUGGCAGUCGGAGGGUUGCCGGUUCGAUCCCCUGCCCGGGCUGUGUCGAAGUGUCCCUGAGCAAGACACCUAACCCCUAAAUGCUCCUGACGAGCUGGUCGGCGCCUUGCAUGGCAGCCAAUCGCCGUUGGUGUGUGAGUGUGUGUGUGUGCGGCUGUGCAGAGCUUAUUGUGGCUACACCGGGGAUCGACCCUCCGACCUUGCGGGUCUCAGUUAUGUACCUUAACCACUAUGCAACAGGCCACCGAGAUACCCCUGUUCUGAACCAGGAAGAGUAGCUUCUCAUUUCAGUUAAAUCAAAUGACAUGAUUUACUUCUCUCUGUGCAAUAUAAACAAAAAUG